AAUCAACGCUGGCGGCGUGCCUCAGACAUGCAAGUCGAACGAUUAAACUUCCCUUCGGGGCAGAUAUACAGUGGCGCACGGGUGAGUAACACGUAGGUAAUGUACCUUUGGGUGGGGAAUAACUUAGGGAAACUUAAGCUAAUACCGCAUAAUGCAGCGGCUCCUUCGGGAGACAGUUGUUAAAGAUUUAUCGCCUAAAGAGCAGCCUGCGGCAGAUUAGCUAGUUGGUAAGGUAACGGCUUACCAAGGCUACGAUCUGUAUCCGACCUGGGAGGGUGGUCGGACACACUGACACUGAAGAGCGGGGCAGACUCGUACGGGAGGAAGCAGUCGGGAAUUUUGGGGAAUGGGCGAAAGCCUGACCCAGCAACGCCGCGUGAAGGAUGAAGUCUUUCGGGAUGUAAACUUCGUAAGAAUAGGAAGAAUAAAUGACGGUACUAUUUGUAAGGACCGGCUAACUACGUG
rnacentral:rRNA from 1 species